GCUCUCUCUCAGGCUCUGGCCAUUGCUGGGGGAGGUCCUUGCCCUACUCUGAUGCUGGCCUCCUGACUUUUGACUUUCUCUGACCCCUUCCAGGCCUUGAAAUCAUGGCAGCAGCAAGACUCAACUGGGGCAGCAUCAUGUCUGUGUUUGAAUCCCGGUUCGGCCACUUUCCAGCUGUGUGAUGUGGGGCAAGUCAGGCUCAGAUCCCACCAGGACUACAACCCUUAGCCCUGUCUGGUCUCCCCUGCAACCCUUGAGGCCACCCUGGAGGCUCAGCCAUCCAUUCACCUCAGAAAGAAGCUGGAAGCUCAAGCCUGACUAUAGGACCAGCACAGCCCCUGGCCAGCCGCAUGCUGCAGAGGCUCUGGCUGACUGUCUCUGCUCGCCUGUUCUGCUGUUUGCAUGUUCUCAGAAUAGGAGACCCCUAAAGACAGAAACUGCAUGUGUCCUGCACAGGAAAUCUUGUAUUGUUGACCCAGCUAGAACCCCACCCCUGGCUCCUGACGCCUCUCCUGCUGGACUCUUCAGCAUGUUGGAUGAAGACCAUCAGUGCUGAACUCACCAUACUCUUCCAAGAUCUGCCUGCUCCUCCCCAUCACCCCAGAGCAAGCCCUUGGCUCCUCUCCCCUUCCUAGAAACUCCCACCAGUGUUGUCAGUUCUCUUGGGUCAUGAUUCCUUAAAAAUGAACACAGAAUCUAAUUUUAUUUUCAAAACAUGAAACCAGUUCACCAUUUAACUUUGCUCUUAUUAAGUCUAUUAUCCUGAUUUAUCCUCUUUGGUAUUAAAGCCAAUAAAUCAUAUAAAUCUUGAAACUUUUUAACUCAGAAAAAUAAACUCUGUUAUGACAAUC